rnacentral:misc_RNA from 1 species
GGUUAGUGAAUACAUGAUAACAAAACCAAUUCUAUUUUCCUUUUUAGUCCAAUGAUUGUAUGGUAUGGCUAACGCGAACAUAAACACUGUCAUGAAGAAAAACCCCAUCAAUUGAAUCGCAAAUCUACCCAUUCUAUCGAUAAAUGCAACUGUAAACCAGUAACCAGGUACUGUACUACAAAGAGCAAUAAGAGUCUGUGCCUUUGCAAUUUUGAAUACCUCAUCCAACGCGUUCAUCGUCUCUGGAUGAGGUAUCCAUCCAAUUUUACUAAAUAUAUCCUUCUGAAAUAGAUUCUGACUAUAAAACGCGAUAUCUAGUAAAAACCAUGUACUAGUUGUUCCAAGCAAAUGCAGUCCAUGACGAUGAAGAAACUCCUUAGUAAACAGCCCGAAACUAUUCCCCUGUGUCUCAACAAUCUUCUCUUUCUCUGCUUCAAUUUCAACAUUCAACACUUUACUCAUAUCGGAAGCAGCUUUUGUAGCAUUCUUAGCUACCAAAGCUGUGUAACGUGCUGUCUCAGGCAUCUUCAUACGCCAAUAGUAAGUAAGCAAAGCCGGUAUAGCACCAAACAUAAGUAUAAUUCUCCAUACGAAAUCAGCCUCAGGAGGGGUUGAACCUUCAUUAUUAACAGAAUAAAUUGGAGCAGGGUACGCGUUUUUAAACGAGCCACUAACAACAAGUGCAACAAUCCCUCCUGUCAAAAUCCCAAAUCCUUGCAUCGCGAAUACUGCAGAUAUAAAAGCUCCACGAGUCUUUUUAUUAGCGUAUUCAGACAUGAUCGUUGCUGAUAAAGGGUAAUCGCCACCAAUACCAAAACCAAGCCAAAAUCGAAAGAAACAUAACGUAGCAAUCACACCACUAGAGGUCUUACCAAAA